rnacentral:SRP_RNA from 1 species
GCUGGGCAUGGUGGCGCGUGCCUGUAGUCCCAGCUACUCCGGAGGCUGAGGCAGGAGAAUCACUUGAAUCCGGGUAGGUAGAGGUUGCAGUGAACCAGGAUUAUGCCACUGCACUCCAGCCUGGGUGACAGAGUGAGACUCAGUCUCAA